GCAUUCGGAUGAAGACUCAGUAGGUGGAGCAGCAAGAGGUGCCCCUCCGUAGGGCAGAUUUGUGGCCACACAUCUAUCACCAGCUGGUCCAUAUAGAGGAGGAGAUAAGGUACAUAUCAAGACACCUUUCUCCGUGACUUCCGUUGUUGAUGGUCAUGAUUCUGUUUAGUUACAGGGCGUGGGGUGCUCUUCUUGGAAGACGGUUAGCGGAGCGUGGAAUUAUAGUCGCUUGCAUUGAUUAUAGAAAUUUGCCCCAAGGAACAAUAAGUGACAUGGCCAGUGAUGCUUUUGAGGCAUUUUCAUUUAUUUGUGAUACUAUUGCUAGCUAUGGAGGAGAUCCUAAUCA